GAACCUACGGGGCGCAGCAGUGGGGAAUAUUGGGCAAUGGGCGCAAGCCUGACCCAGCAACGCCGCGUGAAGGAAGAAGGCUUUCGGGUUGUAAACUUCUUUUCUGGGGGACGAACAAAUGACGGUACCCCAGGAAUAAGCCACGGCUAACUACGUGCCAGCAGCCGCGGUAAUACGUAGGUGGCAAGCGUUAUCCGGAUUUAUUGGGUGUAAAGGGCGUGUAGGCGGGAAUGCAAGUCAGAUGUGAAAACCACGGGCUCAACCUGUGGCCUGCAUUUGAAACUGUUUUUCUUGAGUGCU
rnacentral:rRNA from 1 species